UAGUUGGAUGCUCUCUGGUUUGAGCGCUUAGCUGUUAACUAAGAAUUUGAGGGAUCGAGGCCCUCCCAGCUAG
rnacentral:tRNA from 1 species